rnacentral:ncRNA from 1 species
AAAAAGGCUAUGAAAAGGAAUAGUAACUGUCAGGAAUUCUCUCAGAAAGCCGCCGGUUGAUGCAAGACGGCAGAAGGAAUACAGUGAACUCGCCUUGAAGCUGCCGGCUGAACCCUAUAGUAGGUCGCGACGGACUCCCACCGUUACCCGGGAAUGGCAUGAUAGUGCCAAUGAGUGCAUGUAACAACAUGAAAUAGAGUGGUACCGCGAAAGUUUUCUUUCGUCUCUAUG